UUUAUUGCUGUAAUUAGGAAAUAGUAGUAGAUAAUAUUUAUUUUAAGAGAGUUGUCAGUUUUGGUGAAAGACAAUAAAUAAAUACCUAUGAAUUCACCCUAUAGCUUUUAUUAAUAAUAAACGUUACUCGCGUUAAGAGAUUAAGUGUAUAGACAUUCUAUAAAAUAAGGUGGUACCACGGUAAUUCGUCCUUAGA
rnacentral:ncRNA from 1 species